rnacentral:misc_RNA from 1 species
GGUGGUCAGCCAAGUUCUCCAAGGGGCCCUUGCCAGUGACAAUGGCCUGGACGAAGAAUCCAAACAUGGAGAACAUGGCGAGCCUGCCAUUUUUGAGCUCCUUGACCUUGAGCUCAGCAAAGGCCUCAGGAUCGUCAGCAAGUCCCAGAGGAUCAAAGCUACCACCCGGGUAGAGGGGAUCGACCACCUCACCGAGAGGCCCGCCAGCAAUACGGUAGCCCUCAACUGCUCCCAUCAGCAACACCUGGGUGGCCCAUAUGGCGAGGAUGCUCUGGGCAUGGACCAGACUGGGAUUCCCUAGAUAGUCGAGGCCGCCCUCGCUAAAGAUCUGGGCACCAGCCUUGAACCAGACGGCCUCACCGAAUUUGACCCCAUUGCGAGAGAGCAGCUCAGGGAAGACGCAGCCGAGGGCGCCG